rnacentral:lncRNA from 1 species
UGUUAGGAUAUGUUAGAGAUCAGUUUAAAAUCCUUAUUAAAAAUUAUAUUAAGUUGUAGUAUCAGGAUUCACUUGCUAACCGAAUGUCAGAUUCAUUAAUCAGUUGGUAUCUAAGAAAGUGUUAAAUAUGGUUAUUUAAUUAGAUCCGUUUGCUUACCUGAUUAAGUUGUUGAUGUCUAGGAAAAGCAUAAGAGAGCCUCCCACCUACUUAUCUAGCCAAUCUGGUCUAUUGAGUUUUGAAUUUGGAUUGCUUAGUGAUUUAGACACUAUAUGUGCCUUCCUUCAUACUAAGCCAAUAUCAUGUCAAAAACUACAUUGAGUUUAUUGUGCAACCACAAGACUUACUAUGAAGAUUGAUAUGAGAUUGUCUUAGUGCAUAUUUGAUGCUUACAGUAUUUUGGAUAUGUUAUUUUGUUAUGCAACCAUAAGAGCAACAUCAUUUAGAUAUGACUGUAUGAAAAUAAAGGAUCUAACUUAACUAAAAUAUUAUAGUUUGUUGUGCAACUACAAGACUAUGAAUAUUUUAAAGGCAGGAAGAUGUUGAGAGUUGCAUGAGAUACAAUUGAAAAAGGAGUUUUCUAACUUUGAACUCAUGAAGGUUUGUUGUGUAAUCAUAAAAUCUUUUGUGAGAAAUUAAGAUCUCAACCCCACUAAGAAAAUCAAUAGGGUUUCUCUUUUAUCAUAGGAUAGGGCUAUGGUAUUCGAUGAAAUAAUGAGAGUAACAAUUAGACAAGAGAUCUAAUUUAGUAAUGCAUGUCAUCAUAAGUUAUCCACUUAUAUUGGUUCCUUGUUAUUGUAGAUUAAUCCGCACAAUGGCAUCCUCACUUUCACUGCAUGGCAUACUUAAGAAAUAUAUGUGGAUUGGCUGAGGAACCUGAGAAUUAUUCUCACACAGGAGAAAGUCUCCUGUAUUCUGGAUAUCUUUACACCCGAUAUAAUCGGUUAAGAUGCAACUAAGGAGGAAAGGGCCACAUACAAGAUGUAGUAAGAUGACAGUAUGACUGUCAAAUAUGUCAUGCUUGCCUCUAUGAUUAAUGAGCUUCAAAGGUAACAUGAAGGCAUGGAUAUUCCUUCCAUACUCCUUGAUCUAAAAGAGUUAUAUAGAGAACAA